UACGAAGGUGGCAAGCGUUGUUCGGAUUUACUGGGCGUAAAGGGAGCGUAGGUGGUUAGGUAAGCCCUCCGGGAAAUCUUCAGGCUUAACCUGAAAAGGUCGGGGGGGACUGCCUGGCUAGAGGACGGGAGAGGAGCGCGGAAUUCCCGGUGUAGCGGUGAAAUGCGUAGAGAUCGGGAGGAAGGCCGGUGGCGAAGGCGACUUCUUGGCCUGUUCUUGACGCUGAGGCGCGAAAGCUGGGGGAGCAAACGGGG
rnacentral:rRNA from 1 species